AUUGAACGCUGGCGGCAUGCCUUACACAUGCAAGUCGAACGGUAACGGGCCUUCGGGUGCCGACGAGUGGCGAACGGGUGAGUAAUGUAUCGGAACGUACCUUUCAGUGGGGGAUAACGUAGCGAAAGUUACGCUAAUACCGCAUAUUCUGUGAGCAGGAAAGCAGGGGAUCGCAAGACCUUGCGCUGAUUGAGCGGCCGAUAUCAGAUUAGCUAGUUGGUGAGGUAAAGGCUCACCAAGGCGACGAUCUGUAGCGGGUCUGAGAGGAUGAUCCGCCACACUGGAACUGAGACACGGUCCAGACUCCUACGGGAGGCAGCAGUGGGGAAUUUUGGACAAAUGGGGGGCAACCCUGAUCCAGCCAUGCCGCGUGAGUGAAGAAGGCCUCGGUUGUAAG
rnacentral:rRNA from 1 species